ensembl:lncRNA
GCCGAUAACAGGCUGAAGGCAGGGGACACCCUGGACAGGGCACAAUCUCACAAACAUUCACACACUACAGACAAUUUGGAAUUGCCAAUCAACCUACAACGAAUGUCUGUGGACUGGGUGAGGAAACCCCCAAAGCAUAAGGAAACAUUCAAGCUCCACGCACACACAGGGCGGAGGUUGGAGUCAAACCCCCUACCAGAAAGGUGCAAGGCUUUCCAUGGUGACUCACGGAAGUGUAACUACACUGUCAUUGAGCUUUACCUCUAAUGGUCUUCUCCACCUUUGUAACCUCUCCACACCUUUAUAUUGGCUUUCAUCAAGGUCUCAGUGUAAAAACACCGAAGGAACAAAACGCAUCUAAAAGUUAUCUUUAGAAAAGCCUGAGUUGUUUACCUCUCUGUAAAGGUCUAACCUGAAUAAAAGAGCUACCGAAGGGCUCAGCAGUACUGAACAUGAAAUGCACUAAAGCACGACACAUCAAACAAAGCCCCGUCACUAAAAGC